UGAUUGCUUUGCGCCCUUUGUCAAUUCGGUUCUUGUCCUUCUUGUUCUUUUUAUCCAGCCUCUCCUUAACCUAAACACCAUAGAAAUUGGAAGUGCAUUCCAAACCGUUUCUCAAGAGCAUUACACGCGAGACGGCCUCAAAGGACCCGAUUUAGACAUAAUGGAGGGCUUCGCGCAUUUGAACCUCAAAGAGAGCCAGCCUCAACAAGAACAAGGUAUAUAUGUUUACUUGGCAGGAAAUGGAGCAUGGAACACCAAGAAUCCCGAAGAGACCGCCUCGGAUCAUCAAGAUACAACCGUUUCAAGACAUGAAACCGAUAGCGAGCAAAUGAGACAAGAAGGACACGAAGAAGGGCACGAGAA
rnacentral:lncRNA from 1 species